rnacentral:misc_RNA from 1 species
GAUGAAGAACGCAGCGAAAUGCGAUAAGUAAUGUGAAUUGCAGAAUUCAGUGAAUCAUCGAAUCUUUGAACGCACAUUGCGCCCGCCAGUAUUCUGGCGGGCAUGCCUGUUCGAGCGUCAUUUCAACCAUCAAGCCCCAGGCUUGUGUUGGGGACCUGCGGCUGCCGCAGGCCCUGAAAACCAGUGGCGGGCUCGCUGUCACACCGGGCGUAGUAGAUUUUAUCUCGCUCAGGGCGUGCUGCGGGUUCCGGCCGUUAAAAAGCCUUUUUCACCCAAGGUUGACCUCGGAUCAGGUAGGAAGACCCGCUGAACUUAAGCAUAUCAAUAAGCGGAGGA